rnacentral:lncRNA from 1 species
GAAUCCCCCAGAUGCCUUCUGAUGCUGUUAUGGAAUGAAGUAAGUGACAGCCCUUCCACACACCCACCGAGCUACCCACCUGCCCCUUAGCUACACGCCCACUUUGAACAGGUCCUGACAGAGACAAGACCAGUGCAGUUACCUUGGCUCUAAAGAGAAUGCAGUCGUUGGUUCUGACCCCAGGCCCACACCCUCGGUAUGAGCUCUGCCUCCACACCCCUCAGGGCAGUCCUGUGCAUUUACCCUUUCUCCCGUGUGUCUGCAUGAAUGCCCUGGAAGUCCCUAAGUGAUAGUCUGCAGGAGGUAGACACUGGAGAGGGCUCAUCCCUGACCCAGGAAGAGGGCAGGCUAGAGCAAGGACUAAACAUUGGCUUUGAAAAGGAGCAGUGUGCAGGUUGGUUAACCAGGGGCUUGGCUCAGGCCAGGAUUUUAGCCUCCUUGUAUGGAUAUUGAACAACACAUCAGAGCAGCUCAGAACUGCAGAAUCCGUGUUUGUGAAAUUUGCCUACUCACUGAAAUGUAUCUACAGCUCCAAGAUCAAUACUGGAAGUACAUUUGCAGCCCUUCACAGACAUGCACACAUCGAGAAAGUUGGAGUCACCAGUGGACAGGUGGAAAUUUUCUCCAUCUAUAUGCAUUUCUGAUUGAAAUACAUGGAAUCUGCCUUGCCAGCAUGCCAAGCGUCCGACAACAUCAAAUACAGUGA